rnacentral:rRNA from 1 species
AACCAGCUCUUCAAGUGGUCGGGAUGAUUAUUGGGCUUAAAGUGUCCGUAGCCGGUUUAGUAAGUUCCUGGUAAAAUCAGGUAGCUUAACUAUCUGUAUGCUAGGAAUACUACUAUACUAGAGGGCGGGAGAGGUCUGAGGUACUACAGGGGUAGGGGUGAAAUCUUAUAAUCCUUGUAGGACCACCAGUGGCGAAGGCGUCAGACUGGAACGUGCCUGACGGUGAGGGACGAAAGCCAGGGGAGCGAACCGGAUUAGAUACCCGGGUAGUCCUGGCCGUAAACGAUGCAUACUAGGUGAUGGCCCGGCCAUGAGCCUUGUCAGUGCCGUAGGGAAACCGUUAAGUGUGCCGCCUGGGAAGUACGGUCGCAAGGCUAAAACUUAAAGGAAUUGGCGGGGAGCACCACAAGGGGUGAAGCCUGCGGUUC